rnacentral:lncRNA from 1 species
UCAGGUUGCACUACAUAAGGUAAAUCGUUACUACUAUUAGUUAUAUUAUUUGUAAUUUUAGCAAACAAGUUACUAGUACAACAUCCCAAAAUAUUGUGACUACUGACAUAACUUCUAGUUUCAUACACUGCAGGUUGUACUUGCAAGUCAUAUAUACAAUGCGGUAGCAAGCGUGUAAUAGAUACACCAAGUUUGUCCUCAUCCGAUAUCUUACUAACAAAAAGUGGGUGUUCAGCAAAAGUCUGCAUAGUAGAGUCUCCAUUCAAAAAGCUUCCUGCAUUUGCUAGUCGAUCUGCUAAUCUAUUCUGCUCUCUGUACGCAUGGCUUACUGACGGAUCAUGUAGUUGUCUCAGUAGGUGCCUGCAAUCAUUUAGUAGAUUAGCAUGUAGUAUAUUAUUAUUCUGGAGUAGGCUAAGUACCUCUUUAGCGUCAAUUUCCACUUGAAUUGGUGUUAAAUUGUGUUGUACCGCCAACAUAAGUCCCUGUAAUAGAGCAAGUAUUUUUGUGUUAAUAGACGCUUGAGAGAG